ACACGUAUGAAGAACAAGCUGAAAGACUUUUUCCAAUGAUGUAAGUGGUGGUGCAUGGUCGUUCUUAGUUCGUGGAGUGAUUUGUCUGGUCUAUUCCGAUAACGAGCGAGACCCCAACGUUCCUAAUAGGGGUGUCAGCCCGGCUCGCCUUCAUUGGCUUGCUAGCAGGCGCCUCAGUUAGCUUCUUAGACGUAUCAGAGCCGAUAAGGUUCUUGAAAUGGGUUAAUAACAGGUCAGUCAUGCCCUUAGAUGUUCUGGGCCGCACGCGCGUUACAAUGGUAUACCUAGAACGUGCUGUUAACGGCAUUUCCGCGGCCUACGGGUCGCGGUAACCCUUAGACUCUCCCUUGACUGGGACAGACUAUUGCAAUUAUUGGUCUCAAACGAGGAAUUUUUAGUAGUCGCAGGUCAUUAACCUGCGACGA
rnacentral:rRNA from 2 species